rnacentral:rRNA from 1 species
UAGGGUGGUUUUAGCAGAGGGGCUCACCUGUUCCCAUUCCGAACACAGAAGUUAAGCCCUCUAGCGCCGAUGGUACUGCGAAAGCGGGAGAGUAGGUCGCCGCCGGUU